CUGGGAUUUCCACAGUACUGCUUUUCUUCCUAAACUUUAUUUCGUUUGCUGAUCCGUAUCCCCGGCACGCUUCCAAACCAUUUUACUCCAGUAAAUAGCAGAGUGGAGAAAGGACCAAUUGACACAGAAAACAUCAAGAAACAUCCACACAGGCAAACUCUACAAGACCUCAUCGACAGAUUUAGCACUUUUAGCACCACAAGACCUAGAAAUCACCAUUAGAUGAGAUGUUAAAGCUAACGUACAAUGUCUCGGGUUUAAAAAAAAAAAGAAAUCACAGAAAUAUUCCGUACAAAUGUGUGACCAAUUGAUGUCCGAAUGGGAAAACAUGAAAUUAAAGUUCACAUCGGCUGGUCACA